rnacentral:rRNA from 1 species
GACGAACCGUGCGAACGUUGUUCGGAAUCACUGGGCUUAAAGGGCGCGUAGGCGGUCGAUCAAGUCCGGGGUGAAAUCCUGCAGCUUAACUGUAGAAGUGCCUUGGAUACUGAUCGGCUCGAGGGAGGUAGGGGUCUGUGGAACUUCUGGUGGAGCGGUGAAAUGCGUUGAUAUCAGAAGGAACGCCGGUGGCGAAAGCGACAGACUGGACCUCUUCUAACGCUGAGGCGCGAAAGCUAGGGGAGCAAACGGGAUUAGAAACCCCCGUAGUCC